rnacentral:snRNA from 1 species
UUGCUUCACUGGCACAUAUACAAAAGUUAGAAUGUUACAAAGAUUAGCAAGGCCCCUGUGGAAGAAUGACAUGCAAAUUCGCAAAGUAUUCCAUAUAAGG